rnacentral:lncRNA from 1 species
UAAAGAGGAAGAUAUGGGCAGGCAUGUGUGAGUGGUGAUUUGCAUGGGAUUGGUGGCAUGGUGGAGAGAGAAAAUGAUACGGGUAUGAAGAGAUAUGGGGGUAGGAGAGGUGGACCAUCGGUAUGCUAGCGUCGCCAACUUCAAAAUACCCCACAGCACACUAGGAGAUGGAGUAGGACUCUACUGACCCUGUACCCACGCAGAAUUCUUCACCAGAAGCCACAUACCGCAACCAUGCUCAUCAACUCAAACCAUAACUCACCAUGUUCACGAUUCAUUCCGUUAAAAACAGAGAAAAAUGUGAAAAAGAGCAUUUACCAAACAGAGUUCAAAGACAAGAGAAGCAAUGAUUGGAGACCCA